GCCCGGUUAGCUCAAUCGGUAGAGCGUGAGACUCUUAAAAAAGUAAUCUCAAGGUUGCGGGUUCGACCCCCGCAUCGGGCU